CUCACACCGGACUUAAUAAUAAUUUUUAAAUAUUACAAAAUUUAAUUUUUAAAUAUUUUUAAUUGUGUAGAUCAAUUCAAUGGUACCGAUUAUGAAUUUGAAGCUCCGAUCAUUCAAAACAACUUGAUAGGAUAAUGUCAUCAAUCCUAUUAAUAGGAUAGUAGAUGGACUCUCUCUCUCUCUAUAUAUAGAGUCCAGCUAGGAUAUUAUCGAUAGUACAAAGUAUUUGGUGCUAUCAAGUUUUCUACCGUUAGAUUUAUCUCUUUUAUUAUUAUCAUUUUCAUCUGUUUGAUUAAGAUGAUGUGGGCCCCUUAGAGUUGAGUGGGUGGUUAGUUGAAUAGUAUAAUCGAAUGGAUAAAAAUGAUAAAAGAGGUAAAUCUAACAGUAGAAAACUUGAUAAUACUAAAUACUUUGUAUUAUCGAUAGUAUUCCAGCCGGACUCUCUCUCUCUCUAUAUAUAUAUAGGCUCAAAUCUCUAACUUUAAAAUAAUAAAUAUAUAAAAAUCUGAAUCUUAAAUGUGAAGCCUCAACCCAAACUUUAAAUUGAUUGAUACAAUUUUUGUAGAAUGAGGUGAAUUUAGUAGUUUGCUAAAUAUUUAUUAUAAAAAUUUAUUGGAGUAAAAGAAAUAAUUUGAGGAUAGUUACCAAUUAUGUU
rnacentral:lncRNA from 1 species